CAUAUUCAUUUGACGUUUAGCUGCAGAAGAAGCACCGGCUAACUCCGUGCCAGCAGCCGCGGUAAUACGGAGGGUGCGAGCGUUAAUCGGAAUUACUGGGCGUAAAGCGCAUGCAGGUGGUUUGUUAAGUCAGAUGUGAAAGCCCGGGGCUCAACCUCGGAAUUGCAUUUGAAACUGGCAAACUAGAGUACUGUAGAGGGGGUAGAAGUUUCAGGUGUAGCGGUGAAAUGCGUAGAGAUCUGAAGGAAUACCGGUGGCGAAGGCGGCCCCCUGGACAGAUACUGACACUCAGAUGCGAAAGCGUGGGGAGCAAACAGGAUUAGAUACCCUGGUAG
rnacentral:rRNA from 1 species